UGAACGCUAGCGGCAGGCUUAAUACAUGCAAGUCGUGGGGCAGCAUGAGUAGCAAUACUUGAUGGCGACCGGCAAACGGGUGAGGAACACGUACACAACCUUCCUUCAAGCGGGGAAUAGCCCAGAGAAAUUUGGAUUAGUACCCCAUAAUAUAUUUGAUAAGGCAUCUUAUUAAUAUUAAAGCUUCGGCACUUGAUGAUGGGUGUGCGGCUGAUUAGAUAGUUGGCGGGGUAACGGCCCACCAAGUCUACGAUCAGUAGCUGAUGUGAGAGCAUGAUCAGCCACACGGGCACUGAGACACGGGCCCGACUCCUACGGGAGGCAGCAGUAAGGAAUAUUGGACAAUGGACGAAAGUCUGAUCCAGCCAUGCCCGCGUGAAGGAUUAAGGUCCUCUGGAUUGUAAACUUCUUUUAUAUGGGACGAAAAAAGGGCAUUCUUGUUCACUUGACGGUACCAUAUGAAUAAGCACCGGCUAACUCCGUG
rnacentral:rRNA from 1 species